rnacentral:rRNA from 1 species
UUCUAAGGGCGUUGAAGGUCGAUCGUGAGGACGGCUGGAGCGCUUAGAAGUGAGAAUGCCGGUAUGAGUAGCGAAAGACAGGUGAGAAUCCUGUCCACCGUAUGACUAAGGUUUCCUGGGGAAGGCUCGUCCGCCCAGGGUUAGUCGGGACCUAAGCCGAGGCCGAUAGGCGUAGGCGAUGGACAACAGGUUGAUAUUCCUGUACCAGUUGUUUUUGUUUGAGCAAUGGAGGGACGCAGUAGGCUAAGGAAUGCAUGCGAUUGGAAGUGCAUGUCCAAGCAAUGAGUCUUGAG